GUACCAUUAGCUCAGUUGGCAGAGCACUUGACUUUUAAUCAAGGUGUCUGGGGUUCAAAUCCCCAAUGGUACA
rnacentral:tRNA from 1 species